CUGAAGUGUAUUUUGGCCACAUUUAAAGAAAUCCAUUGUGAAAAUAUGCUGGGAGGAAGCCCCAGACAGAAUUUUCUCAGGUAAUUAAUCAUGAAUAAUGAAGAAACAUUUGGAAGACACCAAAGCAACUGCCUAGAGAACAACUAAGCCAUUUUACAGGGUCUCACUUGCUGCAGUGGGGGCAAGAGCCACUCCAUACCACCUGAGCUGCUCUCCAGGAUUGCUUCCUGGCAUGGAUGAAGGUAGCAGUAGAGGCAUGCUACGCAGUACCAUAGUACAUUAGUACCAAGACUGUAGCUAGCAGCCUACAUAAUUUUUCUCCAUCUGAGUGCCUGCAUCCGUCCUGCAACCCUAAAUCCACUUGGAACACUCCAGGAAAUUGAUCUCUGUCAGAAAACAGUUAUACUGAGGAAGAAUGGGGCAAACAAGUCCACUUAAAAACUUCCUUACCUGCUGUAACACCUGGACCAUGCAACACGUGCUCCCGUGUCAUCUUACAUUGCCACAUGGCCCAUCACCCUCCCUUGGCUACAACAGAAGGCACAGGCACAAGCAUCACUAGUGGACAAGUUUUUUGUGCUUGAAGGAUUACUUAGAUAUUAAAUUCAGGUAACUGCCUGAGGCUGUGAAACACAUUCAUACGUACCUGAGGCUGCAGAAAUCGCCUUUGGUCACAAGAAAGCUUGGAUUUAAUCUGUACUCCUUUGCUUUGGUGUUUACUAUGUUUAAGGACUUAGUGUGUCACCUGUCAUGACACACUAGAUUAGAUAAGCAGAAGUUUCCAGGCAAGAUAUUACUAUUGUGUGAAGUGAGAGUAGGGUCGCUACCUGCAUGGCUGCUUCUCCUGAGAAAUUCAUGCUGUUUGGGACCAGCUCUGUUCCAGGUCUGGUGUACAAGUAUAUACAAAUUACAUUACUGCCAGAACAGAUACAUCGUCUGCACUACUGUUCUUUCCUCUGCUGAGUUAGCAACACCGCAGGCUGACCACAGUAAUAAAGGUAUUUCAAAAUUAAUUUCCUCUCACGUGACAAAGGCCACAUUCCUCAGUAAGCACAAAAUGCAUCUCCCUAUGAAGUUUUAACACAAGGAACCUGUAUAUGCAAGUGAGAUAAAUGCAUGAGGAUUUUGAGCCAUAUUCCUGAAAGUGCUCAGGCACACAGCUCUGAUGUACUUGCUUCAUUUCCCUUGCAGUCCAUUCUUUCCUCGUUCCUUAACUUCAGAGAAAAUUAUGUCAGCACUAAAGCCCAGUAACAGAUACUUCAACCAUCAAAAUGUUAUUCUGUAAAAAAUGUGUAAUAACUGAAAGUGAAGAAUUCAGAUCCGGAGACCUCCUGACCCGUAACUGCAGUGUGUGAAUAUGGUACUUAUCAACGCCUGGAGCAGCGGGACAGAAGUCCCCAAAAGGGGCUGUGGCGUGCCAAGCCUGACAUUCUUCCAUUAGGCAGGUUUAGAGAUGUUAAUUCACUCCGGCCUCUUGGGUUUAGGGAGGAUCAUCUGCUGCAAGUCUUGGUUGUCUCUAUGCCAGUGCAGUUUGAGAUGGCUUAGGAAUACAAUGUGUGUAAAGAAGGUGGAUAGUCCAUCAGCAGUCAUAUGUCUGUGGUUAUGUAUGUAUCAGACUGACUUACUGGAAGGUGUGCGUGUGUGUGUGCGUACAUGGGAGACAGAGACAUCUCCACAGUACCUUAGGUGAGUGUGGUUUUGGAUGCAAGACCCUGCCCCUACCCUGCUCCUGACCAAGGGCUCCUGCUGGGGAAAUACUCUUCCUUUACAUCACCCAGGCUGAAAGCAGUAAGCAGAGAGCAGCAGGGCAGAGGAAGGGCUCCAGGGAGCCUGUCUGAAGUGGGAAAGCAGAGACCUGUAUGGGAGCAGGGGCAGGAGUGACUCCCCUUGGUCUGUGGUGCUGCUUCAGAGCUGCUCUUCACAGCUAGUGUCCCCAGGGGUGUCAGCAAUGCUGAGCUGCCCCAGGCUUCAGCACAGCCACUUCAGAUGGGUGCUUGGGUGGAGACAGAGCAGGGUGGGAGAUUGGGUUAUGCAGUGGUGGGCCACUUCCUGAGGUGCCUCUGGGGACAACUCCGUACACUAAAGCUAAGUGAGGGUGGGCUAUUUCCUCUGGUAGGUGGGCACAACUUUUCAGUCACCUCUGAAUGCAGCUGCAACUGCAAAGGGCACAUGGCACAGCAGAAGCUCUCUAUGGCCACAGGACACAAAGAACACUUAACUUCAUUUGGCUCCCAAGAAAGUCCACCCCUAAUUAAAUCUCCUGGACCCUGUUAGUGAUAAGACCAGGUGCUGGAUUUGUUCAUGUUAUUAAUGAGUAUGGCUUAGAGGAAUCUGGCUAAAUUACUCUAUAAGUGGGUUUGAAUCAAAAUCAGCAGAAGCUGUUUAGAAACGUGGGAUGAAAUUAUGUCUGGGUGUCAUGAGAGCACAGGAAAAAGACAUUAUUCUGUGCCAGAGUGUGCCAGCACUGCAGAUAGCCAUGACUAGAUGUGCCUGAGGAAUAUGCUACCAGACGCUGGCCCUAAAUACCUACUGCCUUUUGAAAAAGAAAUCUUUAAAAUAAUUACUUUCAUUUUCUUUUUCGUUAUUCAAGCAGAUUGGAUUCAAGAUGUUUUCAUGAUAUACAAAAAGCCUAAUUAGCAUGCAAAAUAUAUCUUGCAGUUACUUACUCUUUAAAUUUACUGGGUUUGCUCUGAGAAUAUGUUUUAGUAAUUAUGCUGUGGAUGCCAAAUGGUAGGAAGAAAACUAAUUUCUAAGAUAAUUGACAUAUAUCUCAUUUUGACUAAUCUAGCUUUCUGUGUGUUGAUGAGAAAUAACAGUUUUUUCUUUUACUCUUUUUCUUUCAGUAAUGGGAUUGCUCUUCUUUGCUUAUGCAUGCUUUGCUUGCUUCUCUACAGUGUAACCUCUCUAUCAGGCCAAACAAGAUAAUAAGACUAAUUUGAGACAAGAGCCAUCUACUUUGUGGAUCCUGGAGUCAAAUUUGUAUUAGGAAAUUGUUAUGUUUUAAGGUGCACCAAAAUGAAAUGGUAUUAGAUUUAUAAUUAGUUUUGAAGUAGUCUGGGAAAAGUUAUUUUGACAAUGUUUCGUUAAAGCCAGUACAUUAAUUCUCAAAGGGUAAGUUAGGAAAAAUUACCUGCACUGUACCUAGAAGCAGACUGAUGAUCAGAAGUGAUUUUUAAUUUGAUUGUCUAAAAUGUGGCGAUCAAAAUAAAUGUUUAAUUUUGGGAGGGAGUUUGACAACCACAUGGAUGCAGAAAC